CAUUGGUUCAAUAGAUUUCUAGAUGCAAGCCUUCGUCGAUCAUUCUCACUUUCUAAGGAAUAGUUUUCUUUCUUUCUUAUUCAUUGGGGUUAUCAUGGAGGUAUCUGAAUCUUAUAGUCGAAUCAAAUAGGGUGUCUACAGGAUGGUUGCACAACAGAAGUUCAGAGACGGAAAUCUGGUUCUUUGAAGAAGAAGUACAAUAGCUGCUGGUUCUAAAGUGGCUGUGAGAAUGGAUAUGUUGCUGGUGGAAGGUUUUGGGCGGAGGUGGGCUUGUGCGCGAGGGGCUUUUAGACAGUUGUUGUAUUCCCAGACUACUCUGUGUCAGUCAGUGCACAGUCUCAGCCGCUUUGGGGGGUAGAGAUUUCUGGUCAGUCUCGCUAGAGCUGUGCAAAGAAUAUAUGUUGCUAAUGAAAUGCCAAUUGCAGCGGCAAUGAGAUGCCAGAUUGAAGCACAGAAAAGAUUGUAGGAGUGACUUGAGGUACAAAAGAAGGUGCAGAUGAGAAUAGAGUCACAAGGGAUGUACUUGCAAUCAAUAUUAGAGACAAGCUCAAAAGAGCCUAACACUUGACAUCAACUGCCUAUCAGUCUUGAGUCAACUCACCAACAUCGAUUUGUCUGAGUCAAAAUCUUAUGGAGAAUAGUAACUAUUCAAAUUUUAGCUUUCGUGUGUUAUCAUGAAUCAAUAGGAUUAACCAUUAGCAAUCUGAAUUUAUAAGUCUUUAUCAACCAUGGUUUAAAUCAAAUCCAUGUAUCAUUCAUCAUGAAUUCAAUCAGUCUGCAUAACUUUUUCUUCCUUUACUUUCU